rnacentral:rRNA from 1 species
AUUGAACGCUGGCGGCAUGCUUUACACAUGCAAGUCGAACGGCAGCGAGGAGAAGCUUGCUUCUCUGUCGGCGAGUGGCGAACGGGUGAGUAUAGCAUCGGAACGUGCCAAGUAGUGGGGGAUAACCAAACGAAAGUUUGGCUAAUACCGCGUAAGCUCCAAGGAGGAAAGUAGGGGACCUAAUAAGGCCUUACGCUAUUUGAUCGGCCGAUGUCGGAUUAGCUAGUUGGUGGGGUAAUGGCUCACCAAGGCAAUGAUCCGUAGCGGGUCUGAGAGGACGAUCCGCCACACUGGGACUGAGACACGGCCCAGACUCCUACGGGAGGCAGCAGUGGGGAAUUUUGGACAAUGGGGGAAACCCUGAUCCAGCCAUGCCGCGUGUAUGAAGAAGGCCUUAGGGUUGUAAAGUACUUUUGUUAGGGAAGAAAAACUAGUUUUUAAUAAAAAUUAGUGAUGACGGUACCUAAAGAAUAAGCACCGGCUAACUACGUGCCAGCCGCCGCCGUAACAC